rnacentral:lncRNA from 1 species
CAUCCUACCUGGCCCGACUGCCACAUAAUCUAAUGGGGAUGUUCCCUAGUAAGCAGUGGUGAUUUCGACGUCAGCGCUUUCGUCACGCCCGUAUUGGAAAUGGA